UACAGAGUCCCAAGCGUUGUUCGGAUUCACUGGGCGUAAGGGUGCGUAGGUGGUGAGGUAAGUUUGAUGUGAAAUCUCCAGGCUUAACCUGGAAAAGGCAUUGAAUACUAUCUUGCUUGAGGGUUGGAGGGGAGACUGGAAUGCUCGGUGUAGCAGUGAAAUGCGUAGAUAUCGAGCGGAACACCAGUGGCGAAGGCGAGUCUCUGGACAACUCCUGACACUGAGGCACGAAAGCUAGGGGAGCAAA
rnacentral:rRNA from 1 species